UGUUUGUCUUGUGGUCAUGAAAUCCCACGAAAGGUAAAUGUGCUGUUUUUACCUUACAGUUUGAUUCAUCUUCCUCUUAGGCAUUUGAUCGAACAGGUGGUGAGCUUCGUCCAAUUGCCCAUUGAGAGCACAUAAUCUGAUGACCUUUGACGCAAACAACAAAAGCUAAAUUAACUUUGCAUCCAAAAACAAAACUUUUUUCGGAAGCGGAAGUACCCAUUACCCAGUACAAAUUUACACUUAAACUAAAUAUAUUUCUACCAUAAGAAAGAGCUUCGAAGAAACCCACCAAGGUUUUUAAGAAAUAAGUUAUUUCUCACCUUUGGGAAGAGAUUCGACGCUUUAUCUCAUCCUCGUAAAAAAGUUGUUUCUCAUGUGCAAUGCCAAUGCAUCUUCGUGCAAACCCUUUUCGGCAUCUCGGACCAUAUCCGUGAAUAUUUCGUCAAAGCUGA
rnacentral:lncRNA from 1 species